AUCUUUGCGCUUGGGGCAAUGACGCAGUUAGUGAGGUUUUACCGAGACGCGUCAAUUGCUGGUUGAAAACUAUUUCCAACCCCCCUGCGGUGUCCGCGAGGGCGCCCCAGAAUUUCUGAAAGGUUGGCCCUAGGCUCCAAC
rfam:Physcomitrella patens subsp. patens PHYPAscaffold_263 genomic scaffold, whole genome shotgun sequence.